GAUGAAGAACGUAGCGAAAUGCGAUAAGUAGUGUGAAUUGCAGAAUUCAGUGAAUCAUCGAAUCUUUGAACGCACAUUGCGCCCCUUGGUAUUCCAUGGGGCAUGCCUGUUCGAGCGUCAUUUGUACCUUCAAGCUUUGCUUGGUGUUGGGUGUUUGUCCAUUCUCUUGCAGAGGGACUCGCCUUAAAGUAAUUGGCAGCCAGUGUUUUGGUUUUGAAGCGCAGCACAAGUCGCGAUUCAAAGCUAUACGCCCGCUUCCACAAGCCUUUUUCACUUUUGACCUCGGAUCAGGUAGGGAUACCCGCUGAACUUAAGCAUAUCAAUAAGCGAGGA
rnacentral:misc_RNA from 1 species